rnacentral:rRNA from 1 species
UACGUAGGGUGCGAGCGUUAAUCGGAAUUACUGGGCGUAAAGCGUGCGCAGGCGGUGAUGUAAGACCGAUGUGAAAUCCCCGGGCUUAACCUGGGAACUGCAUUGGUGACUGCAUUGCUGGAGUAUGGCAGAGGGGGGUGGAAUUCCACGUGUAGCAGUGAAAUGCGUAGAGAUGUGGAGGAACACCGAUGGCGAAGGCAGCCCCCUGGGUUAACACUGACGCUCAGGCACGAAAGCGUGGGGAGCAAACAGG